rnacentral:lncRNA from 1 species
AAAAGUUUACCUACUCUACCUUUGAGCCGCAAAGAGUUUUGUAUGACCGCUGCCUUCCAAAAGAAAUUCUAUGCGUUGUGAUUCUGUUCUAAGAUCACGCCGCAGUAGAACAGUCCUACGAAAUGCUGAUCGGGGUUUUUGCCUUCGCUCUGGCAGGUUAUCUUACGUAUUUAAUUUCAAGAGAUGCGUCAUUAAGGUUUGAGCAAUAUCAGAAAACGGGAAGUAUCGCUUAUGAUGAAGAAAUAGAAAUGUUUCGAUCAGAAAACUGGAAGCCGACUGUGAAAUGAGAGUGCUGCAACGAUGAGAAUGAGUCAAAGGGAUUUGAAUAUAAAACAAAAUAAUGACAAAAGCCAGUUCCAAAUAA